ACCGGGGGGCCUACGGGAGGCAGCAGUGGGGAAUAUUGGGCAAUGGGCGAAAGCCUGACCCAGCCACGCCGCGUGAGUGAUGAAGGCCUUCGGGUCGUAAAGCUCUGUGGGGAGGGACGAACAAAUCUGGGGCUAAUCACCCGGGUCCUGACGGUACCUCCUUAGCAAGCACCGGCUAACCCUGUGCCAGCACC
rnacentral:rRNA from 1 species